GGUUACACUCACAGCGCACGCACUGUACAGCCUGACUCACUUCAGUUCUACUUUCUUAGGUUUGGGUCUGAUGACAUACAACUAUUAUAUUCCUGGCCGAUUCAAUGGCUGAAUAUAUAUUCUACUAUCUCAAGACGUUGCUGACCCCGCUGCUGGCUCUGACUGUGAUUCUGUGUAUAUUGAGAUACUGCUGCAACUACUGCAGGAAAGCCUCAGACACACACUUAGACUUCGACCUGUCAGACAGCGACCACGUCUAUGUGAUUCCAAAUCCCAUUCACACGAGAGAAGAGAGAGACGAACGAGACGAGACAGACCUCAUGAAGACAUGUUCACACCACCACCAUACGAGCUAGUGUGUCCACCGCCAACAUAUGCAGAGGCCAGCUUUAAAUUCAAUAUUUCUGAUGUUCAAGUGGAUCUAGACUCAGAGAUGGAGGCGGCCUACGUACCUCCUCCACCAUACAGCCCACCUCUACCACCACAGUCAUCCAGCCAUCCACAAGUAGAAUAACUUCGUAACUAAUAGAACUAUUACAUUUUAUCUUUACAUAUCUGUAAAUGUGUUCAUACCAAGACGACAAAGUCUGACAUAUGAUUACCUAACAAUCCCAAAGAAGGAGCUUUAUAUACGUCAUAGAUAAUUCUUAUCUUAAGAAAGAACGUUUACUGCUUUUACAAUUGCUAGGACACAUUUCUCAACACUUUUUCUUCACACAGUUCUCCUAAUGGACUUUCAUUUCACAUUCAAAAUGCUCUAAAACUACCAAAACAUGUCAUACAUGUCUCAAAUCAACACAUUCUUCCAUAAGACUAUAGGUUUUCAACCAACAAACACACUUUGUCACCCAUAAAACAAUGAUGUCAAAACAAUGACGACAAGCAGGAUCAUGCAAUUCUUUUGGAAAAAAAAGAAUGAUAUUUAAGAAUGUUUAUAAUUGUCCAUAUUUACAUUACAGUACAAAAUUAUUCCUAACAUCUAACUGUUUUGAUAGUUUGUGUAAAGAGUUUUGAAGAUGUGACUUAAGAAAUGGGUGUUAGUGAGAUUUAUAUUAAUUAUAUUUUAUACAUAUUAUUGAGAGAUUUCAGUAAAAACAAAAGCAGGUAUUCAGCUUCAUUAUAUCCUUAUAGAUUAUUUAUUCCAGGACUAAACAUGCUGUGCUUUCUCCUAACAAAUUAUUGUUCUGUUUAAAUGUUGUUUUAAUCAUUACCUUGAAUGUCUGACUGCAUAAAAUACCCAUACUGUUCAACUUGAAGUGUUAAUGUGCUAUAUAUAAAAUAAAUACUACCUCAUGAAGUGAGAUGAGAAGAGAUGUGUUGUGGGUAAGGAUGCUGCAUAUUAUCUCCACUCAAUACUUUGAGAUGUGUUUUGAAGUAUCAUCGGUAAGACAGGGUCAGCUCAAUGCUCCCUGCUUCCCCAUGUGAAUGUACAGCUGCUUUUCAGUAAAACAUUGAACUUUCUGUGGA